rnacentral:rRNA from 1 species
AACGAACGCUGGCGGCAGGCUUAACACAUGCAAGUCGAACGGGCGUAGCAAUACGUCAGUGGCGGACGGGUGAGUAACACGUGGGAAUGUGCCUUUCGGUUCGGAACAACUCGGGGAAACCCGUGCUAAUUCCGGAUACGCCCUUACGGGAAGGAUUUAUCGCCGAAGAUCAGCCCGCCGUCCGAUUAGCUAGUUGGUGAGGUAAAGGACUCACCAAGGCACCGAUCGGUAGCUGGUUUGAGAGAACGACCA